rnacentral:lncRNA from 1 species
UUUGUUUAAGCUCCUGACAAGACUAUAGCUCAGAAAAGUUCAAGAACUUUCUCCAGGUUGCAAGCAGCUGGAGGAUCCAAG